rnacentral:ncRNA from 1 species
GGGUAGAGGCGCUUUAAAAUAACAGUAUUUAUAAGGAGCUGGCAAGUUACGAUUUAUAAAGAAAGGAUUUUAGAGCCGAAGUUGUAGACUUGGCGAAGUCUGCUGCUGGAUUUAUGCAUAAUAUGUAUGAGUCUGUCACAUAUCUGUGAUGAGCUACAAG